GACGAACGCUGGCGGCGCGCUUAACACAUGCAAGUCGAGCGAGAACCAGGGCUUCGGCCCUGGGGAAAGCGGCGAACGGGUGAGUAACACGUGAGUAACCUGUCCUCGGCACCGGGAUAGCCCGGGGAAACCCGGAUUAAUACCGGAUGGCCUUUCGAGUCCUCGGACUCGUCAGAAAAGGGAGCUUCGGCCUCCGGCCGAGGAGGGACUCGCGGCGGAUUAGCUUGUUGGUGAGGUAACGGCCCACCAAGGCGACGAUCCGUAGCUGGUCUGAGAGGACGAUCAGCCACACUGGGACUGAGACACGGCCCAGACUCCUACGGGAGGCAGCAGUGGGGAAUCUUGCGCAAUGGGCGAAAGCCUGACGCAGCGACGCCGCGUGCGGGAAGAC
rnacentral:rRNA from 1 species